rnacentral:rRNA from 1 species
GCAAGUCGAACGUGAAGCAGGAUUUAUUCUGUGGAAAGUGGCGGACGAGCGAGUAACACGUACGAAUCUGCCCCGAACUCAGGGAUAACAUGCCGAAAGGUGUGCUAAUACCGGAUAGUCUCGUAAGAGUAAAGCUUUUGCGGUUCGGGAGGAGCGUGCGGUCUAUCAGUUUGUUGGUGAGGUAAAGGCUCACCAAGACUAUGACGGAUAGCUGGUGUGAGAGCAUGACC